CAUUUCCGCGUCCUAAUCAUGCAGUCGACGAACUCUGGUAUUGAUUGGUGCUUGCAUCAUGAUUUACAUUUGAGUGAGUGGCGAACUGGUGAGUAACACGUGGGAAACCUGCCCAGAAGCGGGGGAUAACACCUGGAAACAGAUGCUAAUACCGCAUAACAACUUGGACCGCAUGGUCCGAGUUUGAAAGAUGGCUUCGGCUAUCACUUUUGGAUGGUCCCGCGGCGUAUUAGCUAGAUGGUGGGGUAACGGCUCACCAUGGCAAUGAUACGUAGCCGACCUGAGAGGGUAAUCGGCCACAUUGGGACUGAGACACGGCCCAAACUCCUACGGGAGGCAGCAGUAGGGAAUCUUCCACAAUGGACGAUAGUCUGAUGGAGCAACGCCGCGUGAGUGAAGAAGGGUUUCGGCUCGUAAAACUCUGUUGUUAAAGAAGAACAUAUCUGAGAGUAACUGUUCAGGUAUUGACGGUAUUUAACCAGAAAGCCACGGCUAACUACGUGCCAGCAGCCGCGG
rnacentral:rRNA from 1 species